GUAAGGAAUAUUGGUCAAUGGACGAAAGUCUGAACCAGCCAUGCCGCGUGGAGGAUGAAGGUCCUCUGGAUUGUAAACUUCUUUUAUCUGGGACGAAAAAAGGUCUUUCUAGAUCGUCUGACGGUACCAGAUGAAUAAGCACCGGCUAACUCCGUGCCAGCAGCCGCGGUAAUACGGAGGGUGCAAGCGUUAUCCGGAUUCACUGGGUUUAAAGGGUGCGUAGGUGGGUUGGUAAGUCAGUGGUGAAAUCUUCGAGCUUAACUCGGAAACUGCCAUUGAUACUAUCAGUCUUGAAUAUUGUGGAGGUUAGCGGAAUAUGUCAUGUAGCGGUGAAAUGCUUAGAUAUGACAUAGAACACCAAUUGCGAAGGCAGCUGGCUACACAUAUAUUGACACUGAGGCACGAAAGCGUGGGGAUCAAACAGGAUUAGAAACCCCUGUAGUCC
rnacentral:rRNA from 1 species